UAUCUCUGUAGAGUCUGCAUAUCAAUAAGCGGAGGAAAAGAAACUAACUAGGAUUCCCUCAGUAACGGCGAGUGAAGCGGGAAGAGCUCAAAUUUGAAAUCUUCAAGGUUCUACCUUGACGAAUUGUAGUUUAAAGAAGUGUUUUCUGUUGGAGUUUUGGUAAAAGUUCUUUGGAAUAGGACAUCAUAGAGGGUGAGAAUCCCGUAUUUGACCAUUAUUUCCAGCUUUGUGAUACACUUUCAAAGAGUCGGAUUGUUUGGGAAUGCAGUCCAAAAUGGGUGGUAAAUUUCAUCUAAAGCUAAAUAUUGGCGAGAGACCGAUAGCGAACAAGUACCGUGAGGGAAAGAUGAAAAGAACUUUGAAAAGAGAGUUAAACAGUACGUGAAAUUGUCAAAAGGGAAGCGUUUGACACCAGUGUUGUUUUCUCGAAAAUCAAUUAAAAAAGGCAGGAUUUUGUGUUGUAUUGACUUUAUCAGCUUUCUGCACUCUUUUCUCGUCUUUUUUAAUGCACUUUUCGUUUAACAAGUCAACAUCAAUUCUUUUGUUGUAAAAGGGUCAUUGGAAGGUGGCUUUCUUUUCGGAGAAAGUGUUUAUAGCCUUUGGCCUCUGCAAUCGGAGAGAUUGAGGUCUGCAGCGUAGAUCCUUCGGGGUUAGAUACAUUUGUGCUAAGUUAUAGCCUUUCAUAGACAACUUGUUGACUAUGAUCAGUCAUGUAGCUCACUCGCUUAUGCUAUUUUACCUACGCUUAGGAUGUUGACGAUCAGCUGAGCGCG
rnacentral:rRNA from 1 species